AGUAGCUUGCUACUUUUGAGAGCGGCGGACGGGUGAGGAAUACCUGGGAAUCUGCCCGAUAGUGGGGGACAACGUUUCGAAAGGAACGCUAAUACCGCAUACGUCCUACGGGAGAAAGCAGGCUUAUGCUUGCGCUAUCGGAUGAGCCCAGGUCGGAUUAGCUAGUUGGUAGGGUAAAGGCCUACCAAGGCGACGAUCCGUAACUGGUCUGAGAGGAUGAUCAGUCACACCGGAACUGAGACACGGUCCGGACUCCUACGGGAGGCAGCAGUGGGGAAUAUUGGACAAUGGGGGCAACCCUGAUCCAGCCAUGCCGCGUGUGUGAAGAAGGCCUUCGGGUUGUAAAGCACUUUCAGCGAGGAGGAAAGCAGUGAGGUUAAUACCCUCAUUGUGUGACGUUACUCGCAGAAGAAGCACCGGCAAACUCCGUGCCAGCAGCCGCGGUAAUACGGAGGGUGCGAGCGUUAAUCGGAAUUACUGGGCGUAAAGCGCGCGUAGGCGGUUUGUUAAGCCAGAUGUGAAAGCCCUGGGCUCAACCUAGGAACGGCAUCUGGAACUGGCAAGCUAGAGUACAGUAGAGGAAGGUGGAAUUCCACGUGUAGCGGUGAAAUGCGUAGAUAUGUGGAGGAACAUCAGUGGCGAAGGCGGCCUUCUGGACUGAUACUGACGCUGAGGUGCGAAAGCGUGGGGAGCAAACAGGAUUAGAUACCCUGGUAGUCCACGCCGUAAACGAUGUCAACUAGCCGUUGGAAUCCUUGAGAUUUUAGUGGCGCAGCUAACGCACUAAGUUGACCGCCUGGGGAGUACGGCCGCAAGGUUAAAACUCAAAUGAAUUGACGGGGGCCCGCACAAGCGGUGGAGCAUGUGGUUUAAUUCGAUGCAACGCGAAGAACCUUACCUACUCUUGACAUCCAGAGAACUCAGCAGAGAUGCUUUGGUGCCUUCGGGAACUCUGAGACAGGUGCUGCAUGGCUGUCGUCAGCUCGUGUUGUGAAAUGGUGGGGUUAAGUCCCGUAACGAGCGCAACCCCUAUCCUUAUUUGCCAGCGAGUAAUGUCG
rnacentral:rRNA from 1 species